GGAGCGGCUGAGGGGCCGGGCCGGGCGUGCCAGGCUGAGGGGCUCCAGCGCGCCGUCCCUCCAGCUUGCUGUCUCUCCGUCCGUAUGUCCGUCCCUCCCCUCCGGCGGCCCGCGGUGACACAGGCCGGAGAACGCUGAGACAGCGAGGACUGGCCCUGCCUGGCAGGGAGAACACCGCUCCGCAGCGGGAGAGCUGCCAGGAGGGCAGCACCGGUUCUAGGCUGGCUGCGGUAAUGAGGAGGAGCAAGACCGUAAUUGCACCGUGCAGGUUGUUCUCAAUGGGCGCCGUCAGAUCGCCUCCCACAUGAUCUCGUAUGCGCCACACGCGCAGGAACACAUGAAGAACCAUUUUACAAUGAUUGCUAGGGUUUAUAUUUUAACAUACCCCGAGUUUAUGUUGAACCUGUCAGCUAUAAAGUUUGUGGCUUAGCUGUAUUCGUAUGACGUUUGGGAUUCAGAGUGGCAUUCAGAUGGUCUGGCAUUAACAGCAUAAUUAAUAGGUUUUCUUUGUGGAAGGAUGUCGUCAUUUCAGUGGAUCAAGGCUUUCUGGUCCAGCUCUAAGAGAGAGGCUGGAGAAAAGGAGGCACAAGGGUGACUAUCACUCUCUGCAGCUCCCUGAAAGGAUGUUGUGCCAGGACUGCAAGGUAACACACUUCAGAAGCAUGACACUGAUAGAACUACAGAAGGCAGUCUUGAUGCAAGAUCACAUCAUAUCAGUUAUGGGGCCUUGUUGUGAGUCUUUUUUGAGAGCAAAGAGAAAUAUUUGUCUGUCACAUCUGGUAGACGAUGAGAAGAAAAAGCAUGUGCUGAAAUGGAUCCACGAACAUAAGUGAUGUUUUUGUGUCAUAGGAGGAAUACACAAUGCCUGCAAUUAUGCUACAUCUGACAUUCUGUGCUCAGUAACAGAAUGUUACUGAAUUCUGCUUGUGACAGGAUCAAGUAGGACUUUGUUUCUGGACUACUUCCAAACGUGAGGUUGGUCUUCAUGAAAAAUCUGCACAUGUUACCCUUCAGCCACCUGUAAAAAGGAAGCACUUAAAAAAAUUACAAUUUACUUGUUUGCAAGGCCACUAAAUGGAAAUUUUUAAGCCUUUCUUACUCUCUCUUAUUGCAUUAACAAAACCAGAAACCUUCCUGCAGACAAGAACAGAAUAACCACAAAUAUUCUUGUUGGGUUUAUUCAGGGCCUCAUCAUGUGCUGUAUGCUUCACUACCUGUGUAUCUCUGAGUCUUGAUGGGUGUUCAUUUGAAUUUCCUGCUUUUCCACCACACUAGUUAAACCAUCAGCUUUUUCAGCUUUUUUGGGGUUUGGGGGGUUUUUUUGGUUUGAUUUUUUGGUGGUUUUUUUUUUUUUUUGCUUUAAGAAAAUUAAACUGUGAGAGACUGCUACUUAGAAAACACACCCCAGAACUAUUUCUAGAUUCAUCUCCAUCUUGCUAUUUCAUGUAUCACUAUCUUUAGGCACAUCUUCAGGCUUCCACAAGAUUUCCAGGUUUGAUACUUUAGAUUAUUUUACCUUGGAAGCAGGGACAAUGACUCUUCCUUGUUCCUGCAAGCAGCAACCAUAAAAUGCCAGUGCUGUGACAACAAAUCAGCUAAAAUAAUUUUAAUUUAAAAACAUACCUCUCUCUUGUUUUGAACUCAGAAUACAAGUACAUCUAUAGACACAUGAUGUGAACCUAGUAAAUACAAGUAACAGAGGUGAAAAUGUGAAGAGAUUGAUAAGUGGUAUCUUCAAGAAACGGAUUCUUUGCCUAUCCCUCUUGUCUGCUUUCAGGCAGGAAAAAUCUUCCUUUUGAAGUGGGCCUUCUUGCUCUGUAUAAUGUAUCGGUCUGUAAUCAUCAGGAAAGCUAACAUUUUUCACCCAGAGGUAUUAAUUUAUUGAAGCUACUGACUGUGCACAAAAUAAUGUUUCUUAAAGGAAAGACAUUGCUGCCCCAAAUCACAGUGACAUGUAUGUCGGUGUCUAAAAGUUUUACAGAUUUUAUAUCACCAAAUUCACCAGAUCAAAGCACAUGGCUGUGACUAUUAAGGACACUAUGAUGCUGUAUUUCAGUCUGAGUGAUGAACUGUUAAAUGUGUCCCACCUAUGCAUACACCUAUGAAAUAAGACUCAGUAAAAAUUGUAUUACACAUGAAAUGGGAAAAAACCCCAAGAACAGGACAAGGCAGCUUUUCCUUUUUGUCUUGCAAAAAAGCUAUGAUUUUCUUAGAUAUUACCAUAGCUCUUUUAGUACGUUUCAGAAGUUUGAACUAUUCAUCAUGAAGGUAGAUCUGCUAAAAGCAUCAGCCGUUUAAAAAUAUCAAGCUAUAAAAAGUGGGCAGGCAGAGAGCUUACAACAAGUCCACUGUUCUAGGCUAAGCAUGGUCACUGAGCUGGGAACAAAACUGAGAGCUGGACAAAAAGGAGGUCCAGCCAUCUAGUGGUAAAUUACCCCUCUGUGCAGCCUGCUGGUGUCUGCCUUCUGGAGGGAUGCUGCAUCUCAGGGUUUUGGUGUGCUCUGGACAGGGAGAAAGGGACAAUGCCCAGAUUUUGAUUGGUUCAGGACUCAUAGUGAGACAUUUAAGGAGCAAGCCAAAGUGCAAAGGACCUGCAGCAAAACUGGGAGAAAGCAUCAACCACAUCACCAUAUGAACCACAAGGGCAGCUUUGGCUGAGUGGACAAGGAAGAGCCUGCACUCAGAAUUCUGCACUAUAAAGAACAUCUGUUUACAUGUGCCUGCUUACAGUGCUUGCUCACUUUCAGAAUACAUCUUUGUCCUAACGAGCUUAUUUAUACUUGGUACCCUGCCUGCAUCUGUACAGCAGCAGUCAGAGAAAAAAUUGGGCAGUUUUCCAUAAUCCCAUAGCAGAGAACAGCAUGUCCAAUGGGUAUGCACAACCAAAUGGUGCAAUGCACUUGUGUCCCACUUUACACAUGGAAAAGAAAGGUUUAAGCCAAAUUGUCACAUUUGAAACAAGGAUGAUGCAAUCAAACAACUAAAGAAAGCCAUAUGCUGAGUCCAAGCUGGAAUGAAACACCCAUAAAUUUAUUGAGAGUGAACUGUUUUAUAUUUUCUAUGUUGUUACAAAGCAAUAGAAAAAACCUUGGCAAAGCCAGAAUAGACAUCAAAACAGUAAACCAUUCAAUACUUCAAAGGAAGUUUAAAAACCAAACAAUUUGUAUGCUUGAAUACCUCUCAGAAUUCAGCCCAAUAUGCCAGAGCUCCCAUUGCAAAAGUGACCUCAGUCCUUAGAAGACCAAGACUCCUUGAAAGCAGUCAGAUGCAAGUCCUACAGGGCCUAGUUUGCAAAUUGCUUAGGCACUGAAAAGAUGCACAGUGGGAUGGUGUAAGCAAUCUGGAUAUGAAAUGACCAUUGGUGAACUCAUUUGACUAGCUAAUUUGACUGCUACUCAACACUUCUGAAAUAUCAAAUUUUGUCCAAAGCACAAUCCUGUCUUGGUUUACAGACACAUGAAGCUGCAUUGCAGGUUGUACUCAGCUUCCAAACACUGGCCAAAGUGCAGUCAUGGUUAUACCAGGCACUGCCAGGUGAAUAUUUCCAUGAAACUCCAGAUAGUUUACUUUCUGCUGUGAGAAUUUUUAUAACUGAAACAAAAGCUUUGUUCCAAAUAGUUAUUGCAGCAUGAACUGAUUUUAGCAGAAAUAUUUGUUCUUUAUCAGAAAACACAGUGGAGGGAGCACAGAGGAUAAUGCUUCCUUUGAGGUAUCCAAAAUCAACUUGGUGUUACUUGCUGACAGCCACUAAUGUAGAAAAGAGAUACAGCUGUGUCCUCCCAGAGUGGUAUCAGCCACUUUAUCUCAAACCCUCACUUCUCUUUGUGAAACGUUUCUGUUCCUCACAGUGGAUAGCUAAAAAAAAGCAGGGAGGAAACAUCUGGUUACUACUUUGAAAUGGUAUUUGCUAUUGAUUUUCCAAUGUAACACUAGAAAAUAGAGAUGCAAAUU